rnacentral:rRNA from 1 species
UCAGACGAUGCGUCAUGCAUAUCAAUAAGCGGAGGAAAAGAAACUAACAAGGAUUCCCCUAGUAACGGCGAGUGAAGCGGGAAGAGCUCAAAUCUGAAAUCUUAAAGGGUUUCCCUUUACGAAUUGUAGUUUAAAGAAGUGUUUUCUGUUGAGGUUUUGGUAAAGUUCUUUGGAAUAGGACAUCAUAGAGGGUGAGAAUCCCGUAUUUGACCUUUACUUUCAACUUUGUGAUACACUUUCAAAGAGUCGGAUUGUUUGGGAAUGCAGUCCAAAAUGGGUGGUAAAUUUCAUCUAAAGCUAAAUAUUGGCGAGAGACCGAUAGCGAACAAGUACCGUGAGGGAAAGAUGAAAAGAACUUUGAAAAGAGAGCUAAACAGUACGUGAAAUUGUCAAAAGGGAAGCGUUUGACACCAGUGUUGUUUUUCUGAAAAUCAAUUAAAGAACUGUUUAUGCUAAGUUGUUUAGACUUUAUCAGCUAACUGUUUAGUUUUGAGCUUUUCUUUAAUGCACUUUUCAGUUAACAAGUCAACAUCAAUUUCUUUUGCUGUAAAAAAGCUUGAGGAAGGUGGCUUGAGAUUCGUCUUAAGUGUUUAUAGCCUCUUGCCUAUGCAGUCGGAGAGAUUGAGGUCUGCAGCGUAGAUCCUUCGGGGCUAAAUGCAUUUGUGCUAAGUUAUAGCAUUUUAUAGACAACUUGUUGACUAUGAUUUGUCUUGUAGCUUACUCGCUUAUGUUAUUUUACCUACGCUUAGGAUGUUGAGCGCAUGUCUCUCUCU